AGAGUUUGAUCCUGGCUCAGAACAAACGCUAGCGGUGUGUGUUAAGCAUGCAAGUUGAACGGUAGGGACUUUCUAUGAAAAUAGGGGGUUGCGAGAGUGGCGGACGGGUGAGUAACACGUGGACAAUCCAUCUUCGAGUUGGGGACAGUCUGUGGAAACACGGAGUAAUACCGAAUAAAUUCUUUAGGCUGCGGUUUAAGGAGGAAAGGCGCUGUUGCGUCGCUUGGAGGGGAGUUUGCGGACUAUUAGCUGGUUGGCGGGGUAACGGCUCGCCAAGGCGACGAUAGAUAGCCGGCCUGAGAGGGUGCGCGGCCACAUUGGGACUGAGAUACGGCCCAGACUCCUACGGGAGGCAGCAGCUAAGAAUAUUCCGCAAUGGGCGAAAGCCUGACGGAGCGACACCGCGUGGAUGAAGAAGGCCGAGAGGUUGUAAAGUUCUUUUAUUGGCGAGGAAUAAGCCGAAGAGUGGAAAGCUUUGGCGAUGACGUUAACCGAUGAAUAAGCCCCGGCUAAUUACGUGCCAGCAGCCGCGGUAAGACGUAAGGGGCGAGCGUUGUUCGGGAUUAUUGGGCGUAAAGAGCGGGUAGGUGGCUGAAUAAGUCUAUUGUAAAAGACUAUGGCUUAACCAUAGGGGAGCAAGAGAAACUGUUUGGCUGGAAUAUUGGCGGGGAAACUGGAAUUUCCGGUGUAGGGGUGAAAUCUGUUGAUAUCGGAAAGAAGACCGGAAGCGAAGGCGUGUUUCUAGCCAAAGAUUGACACUGAACUGCGAAAGCGUAGGGAGCGAACAGGAUUAGAUACCCUGGUAGUCUACGCAGUAAACGAUGCGCACUUGGUGUCGGGGUGAAGAGCUUCGGCGCCGAAGCUAACGCGGUAAGUGCGCCGCCUGGGGAGUAUGCUCGCAAGAGUGAAACUCAAAGGAAUUGACGGGGGCCCGCACAAGCGGUGGAGCAUGUGGUU
rnacentral:rRNA from 1 species